GAAUAAUAACUGAGCUGGCCCCGCCAGUGGCCGAGACUGACUUCGCAGUAGCAUCCGAGAGAAUGGACCACGCCAUGCCGGGGGCACGGUUUCAUAUGCAUACUUUAUGAAAAUGAUAUUUGAAGCAUGAUCAUGAGGCUCAUUUCAGAGCCUGGGUAUAUGAGGCGGGUGUUUCCAAAUCCUGCAGAUGCAUUUUGGGGAGAAGCAAAAUCGGUGAGGGGUGAAGGACGCUUGCGUGAAGCCCCAGAACCGGCCAACAUCUGGCAGGGGAGCCCCGUGUUUCCCCCUCAUG
rnacentral:lncRNA from 1 species